rnacentral:tRNA from 1 species
UCCCUGGAGGACUAGUGGUUAGGCUACAUCGCUCUCACCGCUGCGGCCCAGGUUCGAUUUCCGGCCAGGGAA